AGAAAAGUAAACUAAAUCAAAGUUAGUAGGUUCAUACCCUAAAUAUAGAAUAUUUUCUCUUUUCUA
rnacentral:tRNA from 1 species